GGCUGCUUAGCUCAGUCAGCUGAGCGUGGCGCUGACAACGCCAAGGUCGCGGGUUCAAUUCCUGUUCGGUCU
rnacentral:tRNA from 1 species